UGGCGGCAGUCCAGUCCACCUUAUAUAUCGUUCUCGCCAUAUAACACCUUCUCCACGGCCUUCUCCACCUCCUGCUCCACCUCAACAUUCUCCACAGCCUUCCCCUUGACCUGCACGGCCUACUAAACGCUCGUCGCUGCCCAACACGCGUUAAUAUUAAGCCAUUAGAGGGAAGAUAUUGUGGGCCAUGGUGCCAAGUUGUGAUUUUCAAGGGUGGUUUAAGCGCCAAGUGUCUACGAGAGUGCCACAAAGGGUAUGGCCGUAGUAUUCAAGGGCCAUGGACCACCGAGGGGCCAUUAGAGGGAAGAUACUGUGGGCCAUGGUGCCAAGUGUCUACGAGGGUGCCACAGAGGGUUAGGUAGACGCCCCUGCCAUGGCCUUACUCAACUAGGGCCAUGGACCACCGGAGGGCCAUUGGAGGGGAGAAAUAAUGGUCCAUAGUGCCAUAUUUUGUGAUUUUCAAGGAGUAGCUGUGAAUGGCCUCAAUGAAGAAUGCGAGAAGUCUGAACAUGAGAUACAGGAGGAGGAGGAGGAGGAGGAGGAGGGCCUGAUACAAGAAUGUGGCUUCACCUACGGGGGAUGCAUUUGAGAUUAAGGAGUAGCUGUGAAUGGCCUCAAUGAAGAACAUGAGACACAAGCAAAGAUAGGAGGAGGAGGAAUACAUACAUAGGAAGAAUACAUAGGAAGAACAGACACCAGAAGACCUAUCGGUCUAUGGCGAGGGUGUCUGUUUAAGGAGGAGGAGAGAAGGAGGAGGGCCUGAUACAACAUGAAAGCCUUCCCAAAUGUGUGUGUGUAUUUACCUAGUUGUAUUUACCUAGUUGUAGUUUUACAGGGCCUGGGCAUUAUGCUCGUGUGGUCCCGUCUCCGUGUCUGCAUUUAUCCAACUUAUCUGUAAAGCUUUGCACACUCCUCGCUGAUACUAUAUCCUCGCUCAGACUGUUCCAAACCUCUACAUUUCUUUGCGGGAAGCUAUA